AUAAUGAGUUGGCAAAUCGAAUGUCUUUGUUUUAUGCUGAGGCCACCCCAAUGCUGAAAACCUUAAGUGAUGCAACAACAAAAUUUGUAUCAGAGAAUAAGAAUUUACCAAUAGAAAACACCACAGACUGCUUAAGCACCAUGGCAAGUGUAUGCAGAGUCAUGCUGGAGACGCCGUGAGUAUUAGCCCAUCUUUCUCUUCAGCAAGAUAUCCAAAUACAAACUUGUCUGUGAGGAAAGAGAAAUGAAGUUUAUGCUAACCAUCAAAUGCUGAAUGUGGGAAUAAAGUCAAAAUAACUUGUCA